rnacentral:rRNA from 1 species
GAUGAACGCUGGCGGCGUGCCUAAUACAUGCAAGUCGAGCGAACAGACGAGGAGCUUGCUCCUCUGACGUUAGCGGCGGACGGGUGAGUAACACGUGGAUAACCUACCUAUAAGACUGGGAUAACUUCGGGAAACCGGAGCUAAUACCGGAUAAUAUAUUGAACCGCAUGGUUCAAUAGUGAAAGACGGUUUUGCUGUCACUUAUAGAUGGAUCCGCGCCGCAUUAGCUAGUUGGUAAGGUAACGGCUUACCAAGGCAACGAUGCGUAGCCGACCUGAGAGGGUGAUCGGCCACACUGGAACUGAGACACGGUCCAGACUCCUACGGGAGGCAGUAGUAGGGAAUCUUCCGCAAUGGGCGAAAGCCUGGCGGAGCAACGCCGCGUGAGUGAUGAAGGUCUUCGGAUCGUAAAACUCUGUUAUUAGGGAAGAACAAAUGUGUAAGUAACUAUGCACGUCUUGACGGUACCUAAUCAGAAAGCCACGGCUAACUACGUG